rnacentral:misc_RNA from 1 species
UACGAAGGGGGCUAGCGUUGUUCGGAAUUACUGGGCGUAAAGCGCACGUAGGCGGACACUUAAGUCAGGGGUGAAAGCCCGGGGCUCAACCCCGGAACUGCCGUGGAUACUGGGUGUCUAGAGUCUGAGAGAGGUGAGUGGAAUUCCGAGUGUAGAGGUGAAAUUCGUAGAUAUUCGGAGGAACACCAGUGGCGAAGGCGGCUCACUGGAUCGGUACUGACGCUGAGGUGCGAAAGCGUGGGGAGCAAACAGG